rnacentral:rRNA from 1 species
AACAAGGUUUCCGUAGGUGAACCUGCGGAAGGAUCAUUGAUGAGGCCGAGAAGGACCGCGAACACGAUGCACGCCCUCCCGGGACGCGCCGCAGCGUCCCCCCUCCGCGCGCUCCCAUCGCGGGGCGUGGCGGACGAGUACCCCCACAAGGCGCCGUGCGAGCGCCAAGGAACGGAAAGUGCGGGGGUCAUGGACCCUCGACGAGUCUUUGUAGAACCAAACGACUCUCGGCAACGGAUAUCUCGGCUCUCGCAUCGAUGAAGAACGUAGCGAAAUGCGAUACUUGGUGUGAAUUGCAGAAUCCCGUGAACCAUCGAGUCUUUGAACGCAAGUUGCGCCCGAGGCGUUUUCGCCGAGGGCAUGCCUCCCUGGGCUUCACGCAUCUCGUCGCCCCAUCCCGACUCGCGCACGCGUGCCGUCGGUGUUGGAGCGGAGUGUGGCAUCCCGUGUGCGUACGCGGCCUGCCGAAACGCAACGCGUCCGGUACUCGGCACAGGACGCCACGAGCAACGGUGGUCGGGUCGUUCCACUUACCGGUCGUGGUCGGUUUCGCGUGCACGUGCGUACCUUGCGCGCAUCCCGUCCGGCGCCGAGCUGCGCCCUCGAUCGCGAAUCCAGGUGAGGCGGGACCACCCGCUGAGUUUAAGCAUAUCAUA